AUCAUGUUCAUAUGAAGCGUUCUUAAAAUUCUGGGAGCACAAAUCAGAGACCUCAACCGUCCCUGAAGUGUCAGUGAUUAUUUUACAUAGCGGACAUUUGGGCUAAGGCUAAAAGAAGGAGUUUCAAGGUAGAUAUAGAUGUUCCAAUUACUGGCAAGUCUUCUUGAAAAAAAGUGAAAGUGCCAUUUUAAAUAGGCACUCUUUUGAGUGUUGCUUACGUAUG
rnacentral:lncRNA from 12 species